AUUCUGGGACUUACAGCAGUGGCCCACUCAGGCCCUUGAGACUUUGGCUCCGGACUAAGAGACCAUUGGAAUCUGUAGUUCUGAGGCCUUCAGACUUGACUUGGAUUGAGCCACGCUUCUGGCUUCCCCGUUUCUCCGGCUUGCAGACGGCUCAUCGUGGGACUUCCCUGUUUCCAUAAUUGGGCUAGCAGUCCAGGAUAAGAGCUGUCUGAAGAACAGAGGAGAGUGAGGACAAGCUGGAACAUGCAGGCAGCCACAUGUGGCAGGCAAGUUAAUCUUCAGUGGAAUAUGCAAAUAGGAUUUCUGAAAUUGGCAGCAAAUGAAUUUGAGAGCUUCUGGGAGCAUCUCUUCCAAGAUUCUGGUAAGCCUUUCUUCCUGGGCGAAACUUAGCAGAGGAAGGUAAGUAGGACAAACCAUGACCCCCACUAUUGUGGCUGGAUUUGAUGCUUAUUCUUUCCACCUUCUACAACCAUUUUGAUACCCCUCACUCAACAUAAUCCCUGCUAGUCACAAUGAUUUAUUGGUGUCACAACACAGACUUUCAUCUUUGAGGGAUCUGAGUCCUUGGUCUCAAGGUUCCUCUCACUUGGGAUUGUUCUUCUUGUCCAUUUACCAUCACACUUGGGAAAGGGAGUGAUGCAUAGAGGUAGAGAAGAACAUUUCAUAGGUGCCAAAGUAUUCCUUCCUACUAUUCUUGUGUAUCACAGCUCUACCACCUCCUGGUCAGGGUCAAAUAUACAUGUUAAAUUGAUGACUCCCUUUCUUCCUGCUGAACGCUUGGCAUAAGGAACCCCAAAUGCCCAGGUGUAGCCAUGAGAUAUAGUUCAGUAGGAUUCUGAUUGUGUCUCCUGGGUAAAAGAGUUUACCCCUUUUUGAACUAUGGCCUUUAAACUGAUGGAGUCUAUAUUUGUGGGCACAGGGAACACAAAUUUCCUAAAUAGGUCACUGGAAUUGAUGACUGCUCAAACUGAUUUUUCUCUUUCCCAGUUACUAUAGGGAUUAUGGAAUUUCUCUCUCAACAAACAACAUUUCUGUGUUCUCUGUUACUCAAUCUGGAUACACUCCUUUUAAAUCUCCCUCCUUUCUUUUUCCUCUUUCUAACUUAUUCUCUUCACCAGGGAAACAUUUUAAAUUAUAAUUUGCCUUCUACUUGCUACAGGCCAGUAAUUCCAGCCAUUUUGUGUUUCUACAAAACAUCACAUAUGUCACUAUUUUUGGUGCUUUUACUUAUUGGAGUAUUCUACUGUUCAGGUCACCACAUGAUUAUUUAUUCCUUCUCUAAUCUAAUCUUAUGCCCAGAAACAUCACCUCAUAGAGACUUCUUUGGACAUCACAUACUAAAAGAACAUUCAGCAUCUAGUCAUUAUUUGUUAUAUAUUCUUCAUUUUCCUCUUAAAAGUGGUUAAUGUAUUUGCUUGUUUAUUAUAAUGCCCUUUUUAUUGUUGUUUUUAUAUUGAGGCAGUGAUCCUCCUACCUCAAUUUUUGACUUUUUGUAGAGGUCUCACCAUGUUACCUAGGCUUGUCUCAAACUCCUGGACUCAAGCCAUCCUCCUGCCUUGGCCUCCCAAAGUGCUACCAUUAUAGGCAUGAGCCACUACACCCAUCUAAUUUUCCUUUUUCUAGACUGCAAAGUCCAUGAGUGAAAUAAACUUUUCUGACUUGCUCAUGAUGGUAUCUACAUGAUCUGGAUAAUUGCCUGCCACUUAGUAGGUGCCCAUUCAAUUUUUGUUAAAGAAAUAAAAACAUGACAGUCUGAGAUGAAAAAUUUUCUCUUUCCCAGUUAUUUUAACCUAGCAUAGGAAUAAAAGAGAAGGAAAAAUGAAUAAAAUGAAUUUAUAAUAUUGGGAAUAUUGGUAAAAUUAACUGAAUAAAAUCAACUAUCUCAAUGACUAGUUAAAGAUAUGAAGAUGGCUACAUUUUAAUAGACAACCUGGAAAUGAACCUAAAGUCUAACACUGAGUAUGUGCCUUGGUCAAUAACUAGAAACAUGAAGGUCAAUUUUCAUUUGGCAGCUUAGAGGAGCCUUGUAUAGAUGGCGGUGACAAAUUAUUACAGUGAUGGAAAGAGAAAGAACAAAAUGGCCCUCUAAGCCUAUUUCCUCUGGUAUUUUUGUCCUUGAGCAGUGAUUUUAAUUGAUUAUGGUUGUCCUGUAUUACCUGUUCAGCAAUUUUCCAAGUCAUUUCUCCCCUAAAGUUUGUGGUACAGACACACUAAUAUAGUGUCUCCAACACCCAAGCCAUUUGAUCAAGGCAUCCUAUUUGCAUGUAGGAGAGAAAUAAGGACUAUUUAAUGGUAGCUGCUGCAAUAAUUAUAGUUAUUAUUGUUUUUGGCUACAAUCUGGUCUCUAAAUGAUGCAUUUCUUAAUUUGAGAGUUUUCUCUCCUUAUUUAUGAGACUGAAGUGUAGAAAUCAUGAUUAUGCUCAAUGAACUUAUGUCACUGGAUGCAUUUGCUAUUUGCAGGUAUAGAGAAGACCUAAGAAAGACCAAGGAGAAUUUGUGUCACUAAAAUUUGAAGCUUUGAUUCUGAAAUUUUACUCAGCCUGAGUUGGUCAUUUGACUUUUACUGCUAUCAACUUGGGAGUUAAGGUGGUUAUGGUAUGGGGGUGGGUUUUAGGGCAAUAUGUAUGAUGAAGACUGAAAAUCAAGUUUGCAGAAAGAAAACAAAACAAAAUGAAAAUUAAAUAAAUUAUCAGGGAAGGCGAGAUGAGGGACUAAGAUGUGAAUAAGAGAGAAAAGACCAAUGUGAUUUCUAAUGGUUUUGCAGUUUUUGGUUCCAGUCCUCUGGGAAGCCUAGCGGUAUUUUCUGAUGAUAGUUUUCAUAAAAUAUUCAUCUAUGUUAUUUAAAAAGACUACUUUCUUUGGCCUCACAAGUAUAACCACAUGAUUAAUAUAAUAGCAAUGAUAUUAAUCUUAUAAUAAUAUGCUCUUUAUCUUUAUAAACAUGAUUCCCAAAUAAACUUUCUACCAUUUCAGUCUUAAAGAAGAGGAACAGUGCUGUUUAUUAAAAGGAUCACACAAGGAGUAAAUGUGGAAUGAUCACUCUUCCCAGACCUAACUGACUGCAGGAGGAACAGUCUGAAAUUGGGGAAAACAUCACACUACACCUACACCUUAACUUCUCUCUGCAGACCUAAGCCCCAGAAAUAGGAUAUACAUUACCCUAUAUUGAAAUAAAAGCAAAAAUGAAGGUAUCUUUGCCCUACUCACAUUUGAGACUCUCAGAGGAGACUACCUUGAAGAAUGAUCCUGCUAUAACCAUGGGUGACCACAU